rnacentral:rRNA from 1 species
ACGUAGGGUGCAAGCGUUAAUCGGAAUUACUGGGCGUAAAGCGUGCGCAGGCGGUUUUGUAAGUUUGUCGUGAAAGCCCCGGGCUCAACCUGGGAAUUGCGAUGAAGACUGCAAGGCUUGAAUCUGGCAGAGGGGGGUAGAAUUCCACGUGUAGCAGUGAAAUGCGUAGAGAUGCGGAGGAACACCGAUGGCGAAGGCAGUCCCCUGGGCCUGUACUGACGCUCAUGCACGAAAGCGUGGGGAGCAAACAGGA